GCCUGUUUAUCAAAAACAUAUCUUUUAGAAUCUAUUAUAAGUGAUGCCUGCCCGGUGUUUUAUAAACGGCCGCAGUACCCUGACUGUGCAAAGGUAGCAUAAUCAGUUGGCUAUUAAUUGUAGUCUGUAUGAAUGGCGAUAUUUGUGUGGAGGCGCUGUAUCAAUUUAAUUUAUUGAAUUUGAUUAAUUGGUGAAAAUACCAAUAAGAAGAUAAAAGACGAGAAGACCCUAAGAAUUUAUAUCAAUAUUUUGUUGGGGCAACACAUAAACAAGCGUAAUUUUCUGUUUUGAUAUUAAAUUAUAACCUUUUUAAAGCUGAAAAAUAAAUUACCUUAGGGAUAACAGCAUAAUAAAUUUUUUGUUUUUGACCUCGAUGUUGGACUAUGGUUUCUUAUGAUUAGAAGUCUAAGU
rnacentral:rRNA from 1 species